CUGACAACCUGUGUGACUCAACAGAGGCAGCCAUAACCCUCCUAGGUACACAACUCCAGUGACCUGGGAAUCUCACCCCUAACCCCCACAGCAGCCACAGCAAGAGCUGCCCAAGGAGAGUCUGAGCUCAGAACACCUGGCCCAACCCCCACCUGAUGGUCCCUCCUUAUCCAGCCUGGUACCUGAAGACAAAGGCCAUAUAACCUUGGGAGUUCUAGGGCCCCGCCCACUGCCGGUCCCUCUCCACGCUACUACAGCUGAUGCUUUCUGGAAAUGACCACCUCGUGGCAGGAGGCCAACCAGCACAAAAAUAGAGUAUUAAACCACCAAAGCUAAGGAUCCUCAUGGAGUCCACUGCACUCCCCGCUCCCCCCGCUAACUCCACCAGAACAGGCGCUGGAAUCCACGCCUGACAGAUCCACAGAUGGUUCACAUCACAGGACUCUGUGUGGACAACCCUCAGUACCAGCCUGGAGCCGAGUAGACUCGCUGGGUGGCUAGACCCAGAGGAGAAACAGCAAUCACUGCAGUUCGUCUCACAGGAAGCCACAUCCAUAGGAAAAGGGGGAGAGUACUACAUCAAGUGAACACCCCUUGGGACAAAGGAAUCUGAACAACAGUCUUCAGACCUAGACAUUCCUUCUGACAGAGACUACUCAAAUGAGAAGGAACCAGAAAACCAACCCUGGUAAUAUGACAAAACAGGGCUCUUUAACACCCCCCCAAAAAUCACACCAGCUCACCAGCAAUGGAUCCAAACUAAAAAGAAAUCCUGAUUUUCCUGAAAAAGAAUUCAGGAGGUUAGUUAUUAAGCUAACCAGAGAGGGACCGGAGAAUGAUGAAGCCCAAUGCAAGGAAAUCCAAAAAAAUGAUACAAGAAGUGAAGAGAAAAACAUUCAUGGAAAUAGAUAGCUUAAAGAAAAAAACAAUAAAAAAUUCAGGAAACUUUGGACGCACUUUUAGAAAUGCAAAAUGCUCUGGAAAGAUGGUAUACAUAAACCACUUAAUGCCCCGCACACGGGAACUAACUUUCUCAAGCUACUAGGCUGCUCUAUCCAUCCCUUCAGGGCCACUCAGGAAGUAAGCUCUGGGCCCCAAACUGUGAUGUUUCAUUCAUGUCCAAGAGCAGAGGGAAAACCAGCCAAGAUGGGACAACAAUCAAAGCAGAGAGUAAAG
rnacentral:lncRNA from 1 species